AACGCUCGCCCAGCCGGGUGAGGAGAACAAAGUACUUAAGCGACUUGACCCCCUUCCUGGGCCCAGCCCCCGCUUCUGUGGGAGCGGCAGGAAAUGGAAAGGCCCCUCUCCUCUCUCCCAACAUUUGCCUUUUCCCCCCUCUACCUCUCCAGAAAGGAAGACACGAAGAAAAGACGGGCAGCUUGCCUGCCGCGUCCUCCUUCCCGUGCCGCGUCCCCUCGCCUGCAAGGACUGGACAUGGGGGUGCUCCAGGUGUUCGCCUUUGGUGUCCUAGCCCUAUGGGGCACCCGAGUGUGCGCUCAGGAACCAGAGUUCAGCUAUGGCUGCGCGGAAGGCAGCUGCUACCCCGCCACUGGCGACCUUCUCAUCGGCCGAGCUCAAAAGCUCUCAGUGACCUCGACAUGCGGACUGCACAAACCAGAGCCCUACUGUAUUGUCAGCCACCUGCAGGAGGACAAGAAAUGCUUCAUAUGUGAUUCCCGGGAUCCUUAUCAUGAGACCCUCAAUCCUGACAGCCAUCUCAUUGAAAAUGUGGUCACAACGUUUGCUCCUAACCGCCUUAAGAUUUGGUGGCAAUCGGAAAAUGGU
rnacentral:lncRNA from 1 species